UAAAUUAUUUUUUAUUUUUUGGUUGAGUGUUUGGGUAUUAGAUGUUUAGAAUAAUUAUUUGUUAUUGUAUAUAUUUUGGAUUAAAUACUUUUGAUGAUAGUGUAUUUGUAUUGUAGGGGAAUAUUAUAUUUUUGUAAAAGUUGAUUUUUGUAUUGUGCCUUGUGUCUCAGGAUGUAUUUAAAUUAUUUAUUUAUUUGUUUUUCUCGAAUUUAAAAGAGCUAAUUAUAUAUUUGGUAUAUUGUUAUAUAAAUAUCCUUAAUAUUUUUUAGUAGUGAAAUGUUAUUCGUUUUUAAUGAUAUCUAGUUACUUAAGAAAUAAAUUUAAUUUAGCUUUAAUCUAGUUAAUUUUUAUAUUUGGUUAUAUUAAUUUUAGGUAUAUGAAAGUUUAUGGGGGAUUAUCUCUAUAAAUUAUUUUCUAUAAUUUUUUGGUUUUGAAUAAUUUGUUUUGGUUUAAAAGUGAUUAAAAUUUUAAGUGUUUUAAAACUUAGUUUAAGAUUGUUUUGAUUUGUAUUUAUAUUUAGGUUUUUUAUUAAGUUAAUUCUUGUUGUUUUGGUUGGUAUGAAUUUAUAAUACAAUUAGUAUAUUUAUUAUUUUAUAUUGUAUGUUUAGUUUGUUAAGUUUUGUUAAGGAAUUAGGCAAAAUUAAUAUGUGUUCGUUUGUUUAACAAAAACAUUUCUUCUAUGAUGAUAUAUUGGAAGUAUAACCUGCCCACUGAAUUAAUUGAAUGGCCGCGGUACUUUGACCGUGCAAAGGUAGCAUAAUCAUUAGUCUAUUAAUUGUAGGCUGGAAUGAAUGGUUGGACGAGACGCAAACUGUCUUAGUAUUAUUGUAAUAGAAUUUAAUUUUUAGAUAAAAAGGUCUAAAUGUUUUCAUGGGACGAGAAGACCCUAUAGAGUUUAAUGUUGUAUAUAAUUUAUUUUGUUAGUGAAGUGUAUAUAAUUGUAUAUUGUAUUUUGUUGGGGUGAUGGCGAGAUAAAAUUAACUUUCGUUUAUUUUAAAUAUUGUGAAUUGAGUUUAAUGAUCCAUUAAUAAUGAUUAUAAGACCAAACUACCUUAGGGAUAACAGCGUAAUCUUUUUGGAGAGUUCAAAUCGAUGAAAGGGGUUGCGACCUCGAUGUUGGAUUAAGAUAAAUUAUAGGUGAAGAAGUUUAUAAUAUUAGGUCUGUUCGACCUUUAAAAUCUUACAUGAUCUGAGUUCAAACCGGUGUGAGCCAGGUUGGUUUCUAUCUAUGAAGUAUAAAAACAUUUUAGUACGAAAGGACCAGAUGUUUAUAAUAAUUUUUAUAGUUGAUUAUUAUUAAAUU
rnacentral:rRNA from 1 species